rnacentral:lncRNA from 10 species
AACAGUUGCCUAGGUAAUGCCAGGCUUUCAGAACAUGACUUGAUUUUUGUAGAGUCUAAAAAGUUUUUACAAUCUUAAUUUUCCCCUUUAUUAUAAGGGUAAAACAUGCUCACUACACAAAAUACAUAAAGAAAGUGGAAAGAAACAAGUACCACUACCUAUAAUCCCACAACCAAAGCUUUAACAAUUUAUUCUCUUCUAAUUUCUUUUAUGUAUAUUUUUAUACAAUUUAACACCCUUUCUUUGUAUUUGUACUGCUUUUUAUCAUUCACAUCAUGAGCAAUAUUUUCACAUCAUUAAAAACUCUGCCAAAAUACCACUUUUAGUCUUUACAUACCAACUCAUCAUAUGGUUGUACCACAUUUUUUCAAGCAUUUUCUCACUGCUGGACAUUCAGGUUUUUCUAACCUUUUGCUCUUUUAAACGAUGCUAUAUGCCCAAGACUUCCAUAAGCACAUAAAGACUUUGUGAGAUUAGAAGAAGUUAUCCCAGUCUAAUAUAAAAACGUUUAUGAACUAUUAUUUUAUUACACAACCUCAACAACUACACAAUAUAGCUCUGCCUGGGUUGGGGUUUAAGAACCCCAGCAAGCAAACACCCUGGCUGUGCAUACACAUGCCCCUGCACACAAGGGUCACGCUCUUGCCUACUGACAAACAUAAUCCCUGAACAUUAAGGCACAUAAACAUACCUAAGCCAGUGCCAGGCACCCUUGCCCCAAAUUUCUCAAAUGAGACUACCAGAUCAGUUUCUGUCAGACUGGAGUGGUGGGCAAGUUAGCGAAAGACAUCACCUCAGGGGAUGCCUGGAGUCUGGAGCUCAGUCUGGACAAGACCAUGCUGUAACCACCUGCAUGGACAGAGUGUCCUCACAGGAGCUCUCCAGAGUCUUCGCAUGCCAUAGGUGCUAGUAUGGGUUUAUGUACCAGGCAACUUACUGUAACCUGGAACUCCUGGCUCCAAGAUGUGGCCAGAAGGCCCAGAAUCCCUUCACUCACCCACGGUCUUCUCAAAGUGACAUGUCUAUCUCAUGUCUGAUACACCCACAGGUGUGGCACCCCUUGUGCAGAGGGCCAUGUGAACACCUUGAAUAAUUAUCUUAGCUAUGAACAUAUAUCUUUGUUGAAAUAACUUAAAAAUGUUUAGGAUACAUCAAGGUCUUUAUACCUAGUGCCAAAUUGCUGUCCAAAGAUACAUUCUAAUUAACACUACCAUCAGAAUGAUGCACUGGCCAACUUCACAGCAUCCUUGACAAGUGGUGCCUUCUUUCACUUUUUUUUUUUUUUUUUUUUUUUUUUUAAAGAGACAAGGGCCAGGUGCAAUGGUUCCUGCCUAUAAUUCCAACGCUUCAGGAAGCUGAGGUGGGAGGAUCACUUAAGACCAGGAGUUUGAGAACAGACAAGACAACAUAGCAAGACCAUAUACACACAAAAAUUAAAAUGAACAGCCAGGUCUAGUAACAUACAACUGUCGUCUCAGCUACAUGUGUGGCUGAGACAAGAGGAUGGCUUAAGCGCAAGAGUUCAAGGUGUUCUCCCUCCUUGGCCUCCAAAAGCGCUGGAAUUAUAGGCAUGAGCCACCUUGCCCGGCCUCUCUCCCAUUGUUUUGUUAACUACUGAGGCCAGCUAUUUUUUCCUCCACAAUUGUGUAACUUAGUCCUUCCCAUUUUCUAUCAAGGCCUUAUGUAUUUUUAAGGAAAUAACUAUCAAAUCUGAACUUCCUUGAUCAGAUACUCAAUAUAAAUGUAUAAAGUGAGGUACAGUCUUUUAAAAUUGUCCCUUUCUACUCAGCUGCCUUUUUCUAAGUACUUCCUAUGUUUUAGACACUGUACUGCAUGAUAUAUUUCACAUAAGCCUGUGAACCUAAUAGGUUAAAAUUAAACCCUUUUCAUUGAUGAGCAAUCAGAGGCUUUAAAAGGUUAAGUAGUUUGUCCAAGGUCAUGACUAGAGGGUAAGGAAUUGGGAAAAGGAGCGGAAGGGACAGAAAUGAGGAAGGGAACAGAGGGAGAAAAUUACUUUUCAGGAAACAAUCUUGUUCAAUAUUUAUUAUAAUAUUCCUUUCUGUAGAUGUGAUUUCUUGUAAAACAAAUACUACUUUUCCACUAACUUCUUUUAUUGUAAAAUUAAAAAUGAUUCUUUAAAAAAAUAACCCACGGCCGGACGCGGUGGCUCACACCUGUAAUCCCAGCACUUUGCGAGGCCAAGGUGGGCGAAUCACGAGGUCAGGGGUUCAAGACCAGCCUGACCAACAUGGUGAAACCCUGUCCCUCCUAAAAAUACAAAAAUUAGCCCGACUGUGGUGGUGUGCAAAAAAAAAACAAAAAUAAAAACAAACAAAACCUACAACAGCAAUAAUGCUGUUUUCAAUUAUGAAAAACCUGAGGCAAGGGCUAAAUUAAAAGGCUCACCAGGCUUUGAGGACAUUAUACAGAACCUUCUUACUUCUGGAUCUCCUGGUUACUGUCAAUAUCUUGCCCUGAUUACUGACCAUCUACAAUGGGACUUUUCUGAUACUUCAACUCAGCUAAGUUUUGGAACAUACAGCCAUGGAGAGACUGUAAAAUGCAUUUUUGAUGGCAGGUGCUGCAAUCGUGCUAACCUAAAGAUUCCACAGGUUUAAGAUACGUUCUGUGAAAACAAGUAAGUACCUUAUUUUGCAGCUCUAUAAGCUCAAACUCUGUAAAAUUAAAUGCUAGUUAAAAGAAAGAAUUUUUAGUGUUCAUUUAAUCUACCCCACAUGUUCAAACCCCCUUAUAACAUUUACACACAUAAUUUUAAAGGAAUGGUAAAUACAAACAGAGGUAAUAACAUAAGGCAAAUAAAGCUUUACAGUUUAUAUAUAUACACGCUCCAAAUUUACCCCAGGUUCGAUUUCAUAAAAGAUCAAAUAGUUGAAUUUAUACAUCCUGCUAAAUAUAUAUAUAUAUGCUCCAAAAUUAUCUGAAGUUGCAAACUGCACUAGCACUGAAAUGACCAUUCCUUCCAGCUUCUCACCUGCUUCACCACUCCCCCAGUACCACUCUCUCCACCUCUAGUCCAAUGCUGCAGUUAUCUGAAAUUACAAAGUUUUUUUUUUUUUUUAAUUAUGACCAAGUUUGGCUUACCUGAGAAGUGCAAGGUUGGUUCAGAAUACCUACUGUUUUCACCACCCUAACAGAUUAAAAGAAAAAAGCCAUAUAAUUACCUCAAAAGAUGCACAGAUGCACUCUGGGGUUGGGGGAAGGGGAGGACUGGGAACAGAGAAGGUGCAUUUCAAUGAAAACAAAGACUUGGGUUUUUUAAAUUUGCCUUUAUUUUUAUUUUUUUAUUUUAGAGACAGGGUCUUAUUAGGAUGCCCAGGCUGGGGCUUUCUUUUCUUGCAAGUCAUUUUUUUUUCAAACAAUUCUAUAUGAUAAUCAACAGGAUGAACUAAUGAAGGCAUAUUAAAGAGUGGUUCAGGUAAAAUGAUUCAGUGAAUUCCUAAUCUGUGUGUCAUGUUUACGGUGACAGAAAACAAGUGUGUUCUCUACUGCUGUUAAAGUUAUCUCUACUGCUGAUAAAUUUAAAUACAAAGCGCAAAAGUGAAUCCUACAAUGCAAUACCAUGACUUUCAGGAAUCUGCUUCACUUUUUUUUUUUUUUUUUUUGAGACGGAGACUGCUCUGUCACCCAGGCUGGAGUGCAGUGGCAUGAUCUAGGCUCACUGCAAGCUCCGCCUCCUGGGAUCACAUCAUUCUCCGGCCUCAGCCUCCCACGUAGCUGGGACUACAGGCGCCGGCCACCACGCCCGGCUAAUUUUUUGUAUUUUUAGUAGAGACAGGGUUUCACCGUGUUAGCCAGGAUGGUCUUGAACUUCUGACCUCAUGAUCCACCUGCCUCAGCCUCCCAAAGUGCUGGGAUUACAGGCGUGAGCCACCCCUGGAAUCUGCUCCACUUUCAAAAUCAUGCCUACAUAAGCAGAAGCUCUUGAGAUAAACCUUGUCUUUCCCCACAGUGUUGUAAUUACAGUAAAAGCUUUUCCAUAAUAAUCAGAACUAGAAGUUGUUCAAUUAAUUGCAAUUAUUGAUAGAAACAUUUAAAAUACAUACACGUGCAUUCAUUAGCUAAUCCUUUUUUAAGAAAACCAAAGCACAUUCUUCAAUGACAA